GCAACUCGUUUACACACCGAGAAGGUCUACGGUUCGAAUCCGU
rnacentral:tRNA from 1 species